rnacentral:RNase_P_RNA from 1 species
CACGCAUAGCAAAUGCUCGCUUCGUUAUGAAGAGGAAAGUCCGAGCUGCAAAAGACAAGGAUUCCAUCUAACAGAUGGCUAGGGAAACCUAAGGGACAGUGCAACAGAAAGAAAACUUCCAUUUUAUGGUAAAGGUGAAACGGUAAGGUAAGAGCUUACCAGCGAUUUUGGUAACAAUUUCGGCUAUGUAAACCCAAUCCGCAGCAAGAAGGGAUGGUUUUUGUCUUUAUUGGAACCCUUCGCUUGAUUUUGUUUGCAAAAACAAAACUAGAUAAAUGAGCAUUCACGACAGAACUCGGCUUAUCGCUAUGCUAUUUU